CGCUAUCACUCCUACGGGGAGCAGCAGUAGGGAAUCUUCCACAAUGGGCGCAAGCCUGAUGGAGCAACACCGCGUGAGUGAAGAAGGGUUUCGGCUCGUAAAGCUCUGUUGUUAAAGAAGAACACGUAUGAGAGUAACUGUUCAUACGUUGACGGUAUUUAACCAGAAAGUCACGGCUAACUACGUGCCAGCAGCCGCGGUAAUACGUAGGUGGCAAGCGUUAUCCGGAUUUAUUGGGCGUAAAGAGAGUGCAGGCGGUUUUCUAAGUCUGAUGUGAAAGCCUUCGGCUUAACCGGAGAAGUGCAUCGGAAACUGGAUAACUUGAGUGCAGAAGAGGGUAGUGGAACUCCAUGUGUAGCGGUGGAAUGCGUAGAUAUAUGGAAGAACACCAGUGGCGAAGGCGGCUACCUGGUCUGCAACUGACGCUGAGACUCGAAAGCAUGGGUAGCGAACAGGAUUAGAUACCCUGGUAG
rnacentral:rRNA from 1 species